GUCAGGUGUUUCCAAAUGAAAACCAAAUAAAGGGUCCCCCCUUCCUUUCCUCUUAAGAACUUCUCUGGUGUUAAGACCUCAUUAAACCUUGAGUUUCCCCUGCUGAAAGGUGCAUUAAGAAAGAAAACAAAAGGAGCUCAAACCUUUAAGGAAAUCCCCUUUGCCUUAAACAUCGAUGGGUGAUACAUGAAUAAGCCUAGAUGAAAAAAGCCCAAUAUCAUCAAUGGGCAUAGGAUCCAAGAGAUUAAGUGAAAGAUUUGCCUCUUACCAUGCCUGGUUUCCUUCAGUUCAGAACUCAUCUUCUGCAGAACAUCUCUGUGCCAGCCCUCCCAUACCCCACUGCGAGAGUUUCCCCAGGAGACAACCCACAUGGACUGCUUCUGUCUUAAUCCCUAACUUCCCUCAAGAUUCAGCUCCAAUGCCACUAUUGGCAAAAGGCCUUUCUGAAUGAAUCCUGGGUACCUUCUCCUCCGAGGUUACUUUUCAUCUACUCCAAAAGUAUCUACUAUCAAUGCAUUUAUGUACAUCUUGUCUCUUCUCAUUUGAAAAGUAAGCUCCCUGAGGGUAGAGAUUUAAAGACAUUUUUCCUUUAUAUCUCAGAUGCUUGGAACAGAGCUGGUUGGUAAAGUUGGUAAACAUCUGUUGAUUGACUGGUUGAUUGUCUCCUGGCAUUUACUCACUUCCUCUGGAUUGUUUGCCUCUGUUGCCAUCAUGGGUUGGACCUCAACAUGAUCUCACCAUAUCAUUAUUCAUUUAAUCAAUUGGCUCAGCCUGGACUUUUCCCUUUUCCUUUUCCCUUUUCCCCUAGGUGGGUUCCCUCCCACUGGACCUAUCAGUUGUCCUAAAUCACCCAUGUUGGUGCCUACUGCCAACACAUCGCUGAUAAGUAGUAAAAGUGAGAUGGAAAUCCAGUUCUCUCACCCUAGGUGAAGUUUUCUUUCCACGACAUUGGGCCAUUGACAAGGAGGAAGGUCACCACCCAAGCUGCUCCCACAAAGCAGAAUCACAUGGUUCAAAAUUAAUCCCCCACCCUUCCUACCUCCCUCUCCAUCCUAGUGAAAAUGCCCAUUUUAUCACCUGUCUAAUAAAAUAACUUGAUAAAAUACUAAGAAAUUUUUUGAUUCUCAGGUAUAUUUUACAUCUUAAAAGAAAUCUGUAAGAGAUGACAUGUUAACUAACAGCACUUGAGUUGUAGUGGUGGGAUUUCAGGUACUAUAACCCACAAUGGAGGUAGGGAGAGAAAGAAAAUGAUCUUGUUUCUGUUUUUGACUUGACUGGAAAUUUUCUUCCCAGUACUCUUUGGCACAUAUUAUAUAGUACCUUAGCACCAGAGUGAAGCCAGUGGUAAGCAGGCCUGAAGAGCACAAAGCCUCAUGGGACAAAUGAUAGAAAGGCAGCCAAAGUUUAGUGUCUCUUUUUCUAAGCCAUAAUGUUAAAGGCCAUGAAUAACAAACUCCCCUCUCAGCCCUCUGCCCUAGAUGAAAUGCAGACACACAGAGGUUUAAUGUGGUCAGCAGAAAGGAGAACUUCCAGGCAAUGAUAAGCAUCUGGACUGGCCCUCUGGCCCUGCUCUGGGUUUCUUGUUAUCAAGAAAGACUAAGUCUCCUUUUUAUUUCAUUCUGAGGCAGUAGGAGCGUUCCAGCAUGGUUUCAAGUUACAAACAGAAAUGUCAGCCAAGUACUCAAGGGGGUCAAGGUUUGAAUAAACCUGAACCAAUCUCAACCGAGGGUAAAAAUCUUAUGAGGCUCAGGAGUCUCUUAGGUCAUUUCAUGACAUGUUCCAUAUUUUAGUGCCCUGGACUGCAAUCCACACCCCCAAAGGGAAAUGAAAGCCUUAGUCCUUUCACUAGGUAGGACCAUAGUUUUUCCUCCCUUCCUCAUCCUCUGAAGUGUCAAAGUCAUAGCUGUAACUUAGUGUGGGUGCAAGAAUAUAGACUGAGAAAUGCUUCCUGGGUGAGGUGGAGGGUACUUAACAAAGUCAUAGGACCUGAGUUCAAAUCUAGAUUUUGCCCUGAACUGAAAAUGCAACCUUGAGAAAGUUAAAAAAAAAAAAAAAUCUUUCUUUAGUUUCCUUAUCUGUAAAAUGGGAGAAGCGUUAAAGUAAAAAUAAAAAUGACUUCCAAGUUCCAAUGCUAGAUCUGUGAUUCUAAGUCAGGGUCAUUGGAUUCUAUCAUCCUCUUUUUUUUUUUUUUUUUUAAUGCUGUCAAUGACUUUAUUGCCACUGCAGAAUGAAUUAGUGGAAGAACCAGAACUUAGAAUUAUUGUAGUCUUCCCAUGCCCAGAAUUGUGGUAGUCUUGGCAUGCUCAGUAGCCACCUGAAUCUGGAGCUAGAGGAGACAGACAAAAAGAGGUGGUAAAUAUUUAAAUAUAAUUUUCUGAGAGGUGAUAAUUGAAGUCAUAGGAUAUUUCCAAGGGAAAAAUACAUAGAAAAGGGAAGGGAUAAGGCUAGAGCUUUGGAUAAUUUAAAAGGCAGGAAAAGGAAGAGAAAAUAUGGAAUAAACCAGAAGAGAAGCAGGAGAUGUCUGUAGCAACAUGGAAGCCAGGGAAGAAAAAAAAAUCUAGAAAGAGACCAGGAUCUACAACAUCAAAGUACUCUAGUGAGAUGGAAAGAAGUAGAGGCAGAGAGUUCAAAAUCCUCUUUAUUUUGACCAAGGAAAGAGAAAGAUUGGGUUGUAAUUUUAGAGAGGCUAUAUGAUCUAAGAAAGUUUUCUGGUUUGUUUUUUUCCCCUCAAGUUAAUUUUUAAAAAUUUCAUUAAAACAAAGAAGAAGGUAUUUAAAUAUUUGAAAAAGGAAGAUAAGCAAUCAAAUAGUAACCCCAAUGAACCAUCUGUAAAUGAUAUAAGUAUAAAAUUAAUUUUAAUUAUUUCCAUUAUCUUAAAUUGUUAAUCCCUACUACAAAAAUAUGAAUGGUGACUUUACCACUUGCUCGGUCAGUUUAUCCCACAGACCCCUAAGUGCUGCCAUCUUGCCGGACAAUUUACAUUGCAGAUCCCUGGAGAUCUGCUCUGUCUCUAUAUCCUCCUAGACUUACUGUCUCCCUCACUUUGAAUAUUUGAGAACAGAGACUGUCUCUCUUUUCUACGUGCCAUUGUGAGCAUAAAAUGAGAUAAUAUUUAUAAAAGACCACAAGGCUUAAAGUAGUAUAUAAAUGGGCUCUGUGGCUAUUAUCCAACCAAUCUGGAUUUUAGAUUGGAAUUAUGCAAGUAACUAAAUUGGUAUCCUUUGACCUAUUUUUUUUUCCUGGAACAAAAACCAAGGUCAUAUAUCUAUAUGUAUCUAUGUCUAUAUAUAUGUGUGGACACAAUUAUAUCUGUGCUCAUAUUCAUUCAUUCAUAUUCUUUUCAACUAUUUUAUAGUCUAUAAGUACACACACACACACACACACACACACACACACAUAACACAUACUGUUCAUCAUUGUAAAUCUAGGAGCUUCUCUGUGUUCCUAAGGUGAUGUGAUGACAAUUAUUCCAACAUAAGAGGUGAGGGUAUUAUUUAGGGAUUCCUUGAUGCCCAUUGGAAGCCACUCUCGGUUCUACACCUUCCAUGUAAACAGUGAUUUUGGCUUUCCUGGGGGAGGCAUAUUGGUCGUUUUCCUCAUCCAGCCACACAAAUCUUUGAAAGGCGAUAUCCUAGCCUGUAUUCAUUCAGAACAGGAAAGUGUGACAUCUGCGCAAAGACUUAACUCCAAAGCAGGGUUUCUGUGUCAGCAUCUAUAUUAGAACCAGGAAACUAAUUUCUAUAGUGUUGACUGUGUUAUAAUCUUGACACCCUGACUUUGGCGGUGGGCCAUUAUUGAACCUUUCCUAAGUCACAUUGACAUUUUCAAGACACACAACCUUUUAAGGACCUGAAUAGAGACAUUGUGAGAAGCCCAUUGAGUUCUAAAGGAAAGUGCUCUCGGUAAGGGUGGGAAAGCCUGUCUGGUAGUUAAGUUCUUUGGAGGGGUGUUGCCCUGACUAUUUGUGAGCGUGGACGUACUGGAGGAGUCAGUUCCCAGAAGAGAUUUAUACGCCACAGAAGCAGCUUCCAAAAAACAUGAAACCUUUGAUUCUAAUGGCUAGCAGGGACUUCAGAACAUCUAAUCUAUUCCCUACUCCUAGAGCAGAAGGUAUCUCAAUGCCCUCAAAGAGACAAAUGUUUAUAAUCAAACAACAAAAAUUAAGUAUGACAUUGUUCUAGUGAAUAUACAUACAUAUGUACAUAAAUACACAUCCAUCUAAAUAAACAUAUAUAAACACGUGUGUGUCUGUGUUUUUCCUUGAAUGACAAAAUUUUCUGACCUUGCUAGAUCCUGAUUCUAGUUUUGAUAAUUUGCCAGUAGAUGGGAUUAUAUCCCAAAGAGAUCUUAAAGGAGGGAAAGGGACCCAUGUAUGAAAAAAUGUUUGUGGCAGCCUUCUUUAUAGUGUCAAGAAAUUGGAAACUGAGUAAAUGGGCAUUUGCUUGGAGAAUGGCUUAAUAAAUUAUGGUAUAUGAAUGUUAUGGAAUAUUAUUGUUCUGUAAGAAAUGAGCAGCAGUGUGAUUUCAGAGAGGCUUGGAGAGACUUACAUGAACUGAUGCUGAGUGGAAUGAGCAGGACCAGGAGUUCAUUAUAUACGGCAACAAGAAGAAUAUAUGAAGAUCAAUUCUGAUGGAAAUGGCUCUCUUCAACAAUGAGAUGAUUCAAACCAGUUCCACUUGUUCAGUGAUGAAGAGAGCCAUCUACUCCCAGAGAGAGAACUGUGGGAACUGAGUGUGGAAUAUAACAGCAUUCUGACUCUCUGUUGUUAUUUGUUUGCAUUUUGUUUUCUCUCAUUUUUUCUUGUUCUUCCUUCUUGAUCUCAUUUUUCUUGUGCAGCAAGAUAAACAGUUAUGUAUGUAUUCAUAUAAAUACAUAUGAGUAUGUAUUCAUAAAUUGGAUUUAACAUGUAUUUUAACAUAUUUAACAUGUAUGCGAUUACCUGCCCGCUAGGGUAGUAGAUGCGAAGAAGGAGGGGAAAAUUUGAAACACAAAGUUUUAUAA
rnacentral:lncRNA from 1 species